rnacentral:rRNA from 1 species
GACGAACGCUGGCGGCGUGCCUAACACAUGCAAGUCGAACGGAAACGCCCUGCUUUCGUGGGGUGCUCGAGUGGCGAACGGGUGCGUAACACGUGUGUAACCUGCCCUAGACUUUGGGAUAACUUCAGGAAACUGGGGCUAAUACCGGAUAGGAUCUCCCGCAGCAUGGUGGGCGUUGGAAAGUUUCGGCGGUUGGGGAUGGACUAGCGGCUUAUGGGCUUGUUGGUGGGGUAGUGGCUUACCAAGGGUUUGAAGGGUCGCCGGCCUGAGAGCGUGACCGGCCACAUGGGGACUGAGGUAGGGCCCAGACUCCUACAGGAGGCAGCAGUGGGAAAUAUUGCACAAUGGGCGGAAGCCUGAUGCAGCGGCGCCGCGUGCGGGAUGACGGCCUUCGGGUUGUAAACCGCUUUCGCCUGUGACGAAGCGUGAGUGACGGUAAUGGGUAAAGAAGCACCGGCUAACUACGUG